CUCCACUCUUCAUCUCUAGGCUAGCCUGGUGUGUGCUCCUCUCAGACUCUGGCAUGUACACUCUCUUCAGUAGGGCUUGCAGAUGGCACCUGAGGCGUGCCGAGCAAGUGAUGGGAGUAGUUGAUCAAUGUCAGGGGUAUUUUAGUGAACUGAGUGGUGUCUGUGACAUUCGUGGAGCAGGUAUAUUCAGCAGUAAGUGCAGCUUUUCCCAGAAAGAAUUGAAUAUUGCAUCAGAGUUGCAGAUGGCUUCGAUUUCACCACAUGCCCCUGUUAGAAACAGGUAGCCUUCAGGGUGGGGACCAGGAUCACUCCUGCCUGUCCAAGAGGGACGGG